CCGCCUGGGUCUGCCGCAUGGCCUCCCGGGUAACCUACCACCCUUUUGUUUAAUACACUUUGUCGCUUUUGGCAGGCCCGCCCUCGGGCAGCCGGCUCCGGCCGGCGAGCGCUCGCCAGAGGACCUAAACUCUGUUUCGUCUAUACCGUCUGAGUACUAUAUGAUAGUUAAAACUUUCAACAACGGAUCUCUUGGUUCUGGCAUCGAUGAAGAACGCAGCGAAAUGCGAUAAGUAAUGUGAAUUGCAGAAUUCAGUGAAUCAUCGAAUCUUUGAACGCACAUUGCGCCCCCUGGUAUUCCGGGGGGCAUGCCUGUCCGAGCGUCAUUACAACCCUCAAGCUCAGCUUGGUAUUGGGCCCCGCCGACCCGGCGGGCCCUAAAGUCAGUGGCGGUGCCGUCCGGCUCCGAGCGUAGUAAUUCUUCUCGCUCUGGAGGUCCGGUCGUGUGCUCGCCAGCAACCCCCAAUUUUUUUAGGUUGACCUCGGAUCAGGUAGGGAUACCCGCUGAACUUAACAUAUU
rnacentral:rRNA from 1 species